rnacentral:rRNA from 1 species
UACGAAGGGGGCUAGCGUUGCUCGGAAUUACUGGGCGUAAAGCGCACGUAGGCGGCUUUCUAAGUCGGGGGUGAAAUCCUGGAGCUCAACUCCAGAACUGCCUUCGAUACUGGAAGACUUGAGUCCGGGAGAGGUGAGUGGAACUGCGAGUGUAGAGGUGAAAUUCGUAGAUAUUCGCAAGAACACCAGUGGCGAAGGCGGCUCACUGGCCCGGUACUGACGCUGAGGUGCGAAAGCGUGGGGAGCAAACAGG